GUGGGGAAUCUUGCGCAAUGGGCGAAAGCCUGACGCAGCCAUGCCGCGUGAAUGAUGAAGGUCUUAGGAUUGUAAAAUUCUUUCACCGGGGACGAUAAUGACGGUACCCGGAGAAGAAGCCCCGGCUAACUUCGUGCCAGCAGCCGCGGUAAUACGAAGGGGGCGAGCGUUAUUCGGAAUCACUGGGCGUAAAGCGUGCGUAGGCGGUUUUGUAAGUUAGGAGUGAAAGCCCAGGGCUCAACCUUGGAAUUGCUCUUAAAACUGCAAGGCUCGAAUCUCGGAGAGGAUAGCGGAAUUUCCAGUGUAGCAGUGAAAUGCGUAGAUAUUGGAAGGAACACCAGUGGCGUAAGCGGCUAUCUGGACGAGUAUUGACGCUGAGGCACGAAAGCGUGGGGAUCAAACAGGAUUAGAAACCCCUGUAGUCC
rnacentral:rRNA from 1 species